GGGGUUGUGGCUCAGCGGUAGAGCACUCGCCUAGCAUGUGUGAGGCCCUGGGUUCGGUCCUCAGCACCA
rnacentral:tRNA from 1 species